rnacentral:rRNA from 1 species
CCUACGGGAGACAGCAGUGGGGAAUAUUGCUCAAUGGGGGCAACCCUGAAGCAGCAAUGCCGCGUGGAGGAUGAAGGCUUUAGGGUUGUAAAGUUCUUUUGUUAGAGAAGAAGAUGUCGGUAUCUAUCGAAUAAGUACUGGCUAAUACCGUGCCAGCAGCCGCGGUAAUACGGCGGGUGCAAGCGUUAGUCGGAAUGACUGGGCGUAAAGGGUGCGUAGGCGGGGUAUUAAGUCAGUUGUGAAAGCCUGUGGCUUAACGUGAGAAUUGCAUUUGAAACUGUUACUCUGGAGUGCGGGAGAGGUAGGUGGAAUUCUUGGUGUAGCGGUGAAAUGCGUAGAGAUCAAGAGGAAUACUGAUUGCGAAGGCAGCCUACUGGAACAUUACUGACGCUGAUGCACGAAAGCGUGGGGAGCAAACAGGAUUAGAUACCCCGGUAGUC